UCCGAAAUGGUCUAGUGGCUAGGAUUUACCGCUCUCAAGCGUCGAGCAUUGUCUCGAUCAGAAAUCCGGUAAGGCCGGGGUUCAAUUCCCCGUUUCGGAA